rnacentral:tRNA from 1 species
GGGAGCGGAUUGGGCCUGGUGGCUCGCCUGGACUUCAAAUCCAGUGGGACGUAGCGAUCCUGCGUUCGGUGAGUUCGAUUCUCACACGUUCCCGCCA